rnacentral:rRNA from 1 species
CGUUCCCGGGUCUUGUACACACCGCCCGUCACACCAUGGGAGCGGGUUUUACCAGAAGUAGGUAGCUUAACCGUAAGGAGGGCGCUUACCACGGUAGGAUUCAUGACUGGGGUG